UUGGAGGGCAAGUCUGGUGCCAGCAGCCGCGGUAAUUCCAGCUCCAAUAGCGUAUAUUAAAGUUGUUGCAGUUAAAAAGCUCGUAGUUGAAUUUCGGGAUCAAUAUGCCGGUCAUGCCUUGGUAUGCACUGGUAUCUUUGAUUUCUCCCUUCUGACGAACUUUGAUGUCAUUAAUUUGGUGUCAUAGGGAAUCAGGACUGUUACUUUGAAAAAAUUAGAGUGUUUAAAGCAGGCUCACGCUUGAAUACAUUAGCAUGGAAUAAUGAAAUAGGACGUUUGAUUCUAUUUUGUUGGUUUCUAGGAUCGACGUAAUGAUUAAUAGGGAUAGUUGGGGCAUUAGUAUUCAAUUGUCAGAGGUGAAAUUCUUGGAUUUAUUGAAGACUAACUACUGCGAAAGCAUUUGCCAAGGAUGUUUUCAUUAAUCAAGAACGAAAGUUAGGGGAUCGAAGACGAUCAGAUACCGUCGUAGUCUUAACCAUAAACUAUGCCGACUAGGGAUCGGAUGAUGUAAUUUUUU
rnacentral:rRNA from 1 species